GGAGGUAGGCCUGAUGUCGACAUCUAAGCACGCUGAGGAGGGAGAUGAGGAUUGAGAGCUGCUCUUUGGUUUGAAAGAUUCCGGAAUUGAAUCCUCGUGGUCGUCUUCAGGGAGCAUGACACCACCAUCAUCAGCCACUGGAACAUCGAGGUCUGGAAAAACAAAGUGGUGAGGAGAGUCACCCAUUUCCUGCUCCUCCGGUUGUGAAGGGCUCAAUGAUUCUGAGGGUUUUUCUUCAACCAAGUCACUAUCAACCUCCACAAGAUCUAGUUCCUGAGUGGAACUCAAAGGUGGAGUUCCAUCCCUUUUCUGCUCUGCUAAAUCAGUAUCAACAUCCAGAUGAUCGUGAUCCAUGGAAAUAGAGGAUGCUGUUACAUUCUCAUCAUGUUCCUCUCUUGGUGAUACACUCAAUGGUUUCUCUUCAUCCACAACACUUUCAACCUCCAGAGGUUCAAAAUCUUGACCAAUAGAGGUAGCGGGUGAUGUUGCAUCACUAUAAUACUCACCAGGUGGUGACGGACUCCAGGAUUUUGAUGGUUUCUCUUCAUCCACAUCACUGAGGACAUCAAGAAGAUCCUGACUAAUGGAGUUUGAGGGUGGUAGUGUUUCUUCAUACUGCUCAUCUUUUGGUGAUGGACUCAAGGAUUUUGAUGGUUUCUCUUCAUCCACAUCACUGAGGACAUCAAGACGAUCCUGACCAAUGGAGUUUGAGGGUGGUAGUGUUUCUUCAUACUGCUCAUCUUUUGGUGAUGGACUUAAGGAUUUGGAUUCUUUCUCUUCAUCUACGUCGCUGUCAACCCCCUGAUGUUCAAAACUUUGACUAAUUGAGUUUGAGGGUAGUAGGGUUUCUCCAUAUUGCUCAUCUUUUGGCGAUGGACUCAAGGAUUUUGAUUCUUUCUCUUCGUCUAUGUCGCUGUCAACCCCCUGAUGUUCAAAACUUUGACUAAUUGAGGGAGAGGUUAGUCCUUCUUCACUAUAUUGCUCAGCUAUAGGUGAUAGACUCAAGUAUUUUGUAAAUCUCUCUUCAUCCACAGUCGCCCAGUCAACCUCCAGAGGUUCACACUCUCGACCAAUAGAGGGAGAAGGUGAUGUUGCGUCAUUAUAUUCCUCACCUAUAGGUGAUAGAUUCAAAGGUUUUGAUGGAUUCUCAUCAUUCAAAUCAGUCGGAGGUUCUUGAUCAAUCAUGGGAGAGGUUGGGGGUGAUCGAUUCAAAGGUUUUGAUGGAUUCUCGUCAUUCACAUCAGUCGGAGGAGGCUCUUGAUCAAUCAUGGGAGAGGUUGGGGGUGUUCUGUCAUAGUGCUCAUCUUUUGGUGAUAGACUCAAGUAUUUUGACUGGUUUUCUUCAUCCACAUUACUGGCAGCAUCCAAAGGAUCCAACUCCUGACCAGUAGAGAUAGAAGGUGGUGUUGCAUCCCCAUCCCUAGGUGACAGACUUAAGGAUUUCUCUUCUUCCACAUUACUAUCAAGCGCUACACCAUCUGAGAGUUGACAAGAAGAAGUUGGGGAUGGCGUUUUCUCCCCCAACUGCUCCUCUUUUGGUGAUUUACUCAUGGAUGGCUUCUCUUCAUCCACAUCAGUGCCAGCGGAGAAGGGAUCAAAUCCCUGGCUAGUGGAGUAAGAAGGUGGUGUUGCAUUCCCAUCACCCCAAGAUGUUAAUACAAUGUCUUCAUCCGCAUCUCUAUCAACCUCCUCAACGUCUGACUGACAGGCAGAGGUUGGGAGUUGUGAUUCCUCCCCAUCCGGCUCCUCUCGUGCUGUUGAACUCAAGGGGUUCAAUGGCGUCCUCUCAUCUAAGUUAUUAUCAACCUCGAGAGCAUCCGACUCCAGAUAACUAGAGCCCAAAGAUAGUUCGGCUUCACUGUACUGCUCCUCUAACACAUUUUCUGUUGGCGUGCCAACCUUGUCAUCCAAUUCUUGCCCAGUGGGGCUUCUCCUGGUGACAGAAAGUGGUUCUUCACUGUGUUCCUCUUGGGAUAAUUUGAUGAUUUCAGCGGCUGGUAGGUCCAAAUCACUAUCCUCAGGAUAUAACCCCUCAAAAGGGGCGGCCGGUGACACAUCUCUCUUCGGCUCACCGUACGGUGAUGAGCUUGAGGAUUUGGAUGCCACCUGUACAUUUCCUUUGAAAUCAACGUAUUGAACAAUGCCCUCAUACACGGUUUUGGAAGCGCUUUUUAUUGCAGCCUGGAGUUCAUCAUCCAAGCGUAUUUCGACAGGGGAGGAGGCUGUGGAACCUAUCUGGUGUUUUGAGUUUUCAGGGCUCGUUUCUCGUCGCUCACCUUGCUCCUGAUUGCUUGUGUACAUUUGCCCAACUGGAGAAGACAGCAUGACAUAGUCCAUUUUUUCAUCUGAGGUAGGUAAAUUAGAAUUUUCAGGAGUUGCCAUUGAGAUGUUAUCUGAUUCCAUCUCCUUGUCUUAAAGCGUGCUAAACAUCGAUUACCCUGCCCAUCGAUUAUUCUUUCUGGUACUCGCAUGGUGACAACUUUUAUUGACAUGCAAAUGACAAUAUUGUAUGUGGAUGGUGAUUUAGAAACAUAAGCCUUCAUGACUGGGAGUGAGCUUUUAAAACUCAAAACACAGCCUUCAUGAAUGCACAUGCCGCCUUCAUUGACCAAACAUCAGCCUUUAUGACUUAAAUUAAUCUGGCUUCGGUGACCUCAUCGGGAUUACAUCAUAGGCUGGCUAUUAUAUGAUUCUGAUAAUUGGCUCACGUUCAACACCGAUCGAUAAUAGACAAUUAUUACAGCAAGCAGCUUCCACGUUUGCAGUUAAGUAUAAAUGCUGUUGAAAACUGCUAGCCCUUCAUUUUUUUUUGUUUUUUUUAUAGUGUGGCAUUGUUUAUUAUGAGUUAGCCUGAACAGAAUAGCAUCUGAGUGGAAGAGCUGCAUAAUAUUUUAUUAUGCUGCAUAAUAUUUUAUUAUGCUGCAUAAUAUUUUAUUAUGCUGCAUAUUUUAUUAUGCUGCAUGUGACAUGACCCUGCUACGUCUGCUUUAUUGUCCUCAACUUGGAUAAAGUGGACGGAGAGGAAGGCAAGUUUAUAGAAAAUGAAUGUUUAAUUGCACACAUGAAGAAGUGCAGGCAGUCCAGAGACUGAAUAGUUUGUAUAAAAGCAAUUAAAUACUUCAUUUGUCCCUGUUAAAACAACACAGCAUUUAAAGGUUUUCAAAGCUAAAUUGUAACAAUAUGUAACGUCGAUAAAAAUUGAUUAGAUGAUUUAAACAGACAGAAGAUAGAAAUACUGUAUCUUAAACAAUACUGCCAUCUACAGGACUAGUAUUUAAGUGCAACAGUACACUAUCACAAAGGAUUGCAAAGCUUUUGGAAUUAUUUCCCCCCCUCCCCAUACGUGUAGUUAAUACGGAAGAGCCCUAAAUCAAGUAAUCCAUUCAAACAGCAUUGAAUCAUAAAUUUUCAGUCAUUUCAAAACCCCACUAUUAAAUUUAGUAAUAUGCAGAAGUCGAGCCUUACUUACAGAAUGUUGUCAUGCCGCCAUCUUUUUAUACCGGAUACUCAAAUGGGACAAAAAUAGCGAAUCGCAAUUGUAUCGGAUCAAUUCUUACACCGUGUGUAAAAUCGCACAAUGCACUUAAUUACUUCGUCACUUAGGCGAAUACUAAAAAUAAUUUGUCAUUAAAGUUCCCCUGCAGCUUUGCUGACGACAUUGUGAUAGGCUCGUGACGUAUGUUUUCUCUGGCACCGUCGUGUGCGCGCUUCGAGAGGCACGCGCUUUGAAUUUAGGUCAUUGCAUUCUAUUAGUUCACCACUAGAGUCACUAAAUAUUACAUUGUCCGUUUAAGAUCGUACUGCAUUAUCUGCAGUUUGUACAUCAACACUGUGCUUUAAUCUGAAAUAAAAGCCAGUACUAUAAAGAAAAGGCUUGUAUUUUGUCCACAUUUAUUGGCACAGCAAGGUCUGAUUAACAAUACAGGGUCAAGGGUGAUUUUUGUUUUAAAGAUUAUUCUUAAAGAUUGGUGUUGAAGAGGGAGCAACAGCAAUGUUUACAUACUCGUUCAUGCAUAAGUUACUCUCAUUUUAAUCAAUGAGUAAAUACUCUUAUUAAUUUAUACAAACAUAGUUACUUAAUCAGAACACUGACAUAGAUAGCACACAGAGCUCAGUUAACUUUCCAUGACACAUAGUCACAUAAUAUUCAGGUGAUAACAGAACAGACAUGUUAUAAGGACAUGUUUUUUCCAUUUCCCCCUUCCCUCUUCUUCUUUUCCUUCAUCCUGGUUGCAGACACUGAGUAUAAAGGCUUCUGAACGGAAGUGUGACAUUGUUGUUUCAUCUGCUGAAGUGCCUUGGGCACUGACCGCCAUUAAACAACCCAAGAUCUUGCAAAUAAAGAACCAAGUGUUACUCCACAUCUUUGUUUUCCUUGCUCCCUGACAGACAUCUUAAACAAAACGCAACAUUGGUCCUAAUGACCUCCCUAUGUAGAAAGAUAUUUGAAUCAUGUAAGAAUGAAUAUGCAAACGUGAUGAAUAGAAGCAGCAGAAAGCAAAAAUAUGAAUUCACAAAAAAAAAAUAGCAUUAACCCUCAAAUAAUCCCCAAAUAAUCA